AUGCAAGUCGAACGAGAACGGAUUAUAGCUUGCUAUAAUUGUCAGCUAAGUGGCGCACGGGUGAGUAAUGUAUAGGUAAUAUGCCUCUUACUAAGGGAUAACAAUUGGAAACGAUUGCUAAUACCUUAUACUCCUUAUUAACUAAAGUUAAUAAGGGAAAGAUUUAUUGGUAAGAGAUUAGCCUGUAUUGUAUCAGUUAGUUGGUGGGGUAAUGGCCUACCAAGACAAUGACACAUAACUGGUUUGAGAGGAUGAUCAGUCACACUGGAACUGAGACACGGUCCAGACUCCUACGGGAGGCAGCAGUGGGGAAUAUUGCACAAUGGACGAAAGUCUGAUGCAGCAACGCCGCGUGGAGGAUGACACAUUUCGGUGCGUAAACUCCUUUUAUAUGAGAAGAUAAUGACGGUAUUAUAUGAAUAAGCACCGGCUAACUCCGUGCCAGCAGCCGCGGUAAUACGGGGGGUGCAAGCGUUACUCGGAAUCACUGGGCGUAAAGAGAAUGUAGGCGGAUUGAUAAGUUUGAAGUGAAAUCCUAUAGCUUAACUAUAGAACUGCUUUGAAAACUGUUAAUCUAGAAUGUGGGAGAGGUAGAUGGAAUUUCUGGUGUAGGGGUAAAAUCCGUAGAGAUCAGAAGGAAUACCGAUUGCGAAGGCGAUCUACUGGAACAUUAUUGGCGCUGAGAUUCGAAAGCGUGG
rnacentral:rRNA from 1 species